CAAACGACUCUCGGCAACGGAUAUCUCGGCUCAUGCAUCGAUGAAGAACGUAGCGAAAUGCGAUACUUGGUGUGAAUUGCAGAAUCCCGUGAACCAUCGAGUCUUUGAACGCAAGUUGCGCCCGAAGCCUUUCGGCCGAGGGCACGUCUGCCUGGGCGUCACGC
rnacentral:rRNA from 1 species